UACGAAGGGGGCUAGCGUUGCUCGGAAUGACUGGGCGUAAAGGGCGCGUAGGCGGAUGGCACAGUCAGAUGUGAAAUUCCCGGGCUUAACCUGGGGCUGCAUUUGAUACGUGUGAUCUAGAGUGAGGAAGAGGGUCGUGGAAUUCCCAGUGUAGAGGUGAAAUUCGUAGAUAUUGGGAAGAACACCGGUGGCGAAGGCGGCGACCUGGUCCUUGACUGACGCUGAGGCGACGAAAGCGUGGGAGCAAACAGG
rnacentral:rRNA from 1 species